AUGGAAUUAAACCGGAAAGUGUUAACAUUUAUUAAAUACUGAUGAUAAUAAUAAUAAUAAUAAUAAUAAGAAGAAGAAGAAGAAGAAGAAUAAGAAUAAGAAUAAAUUAAUUAAAAAUGAAUUAAAAUCCGAGUCGGUGUGCAGGCGGAAGGCGAGUCACUCCAGGCUGCUGCAGUCGUCGUCACUGUCGCUGCUAGUUGUAUCAUCCAGGAUGACCGGUGAAGGACUCGGAGGAGGAAGACUGAACUGCUGGGGACCUGGAAUGUAGAAGAUCAUCGUUAAGCGUACAAUUUGGUGACAUGGGUAAAGCUCCAUCAAACUGUAAAAGGUUCAGCACAUCCCUCUUGCCCCUCAAACGCUUCAAGAGAAAGAGCCAGUUGAAUUUCAGCGCGAAGUGGUUGGUGAGGAUGUGGCGAAGGAUUCUUCGAACCUCGUCACCAGGAUUGCAGCCCCCAAGCGCACUAAGGUGUGCUGCCUGCAGUAAGGGCCUGGAGGAGGAGGUUGUUCUGCCUCACCAAGGCCUUCAACUCCUCCACAGCACGCAGGAGUGCAUGAUCCCGUUCUACAGGACAGAAAAACAUCAUGACUGUCAUGUCAAGAGGUGCUCCUGGUUUGGGCUUUUUUCAGGUUCAUACGCGCUGCAUCAUAAUUGGCUGUUGAAGACAACAAUGAAUUCCCAUCUCUCAGACUUACCUGAUCCUCCAUCCAAACUCUGAUGUUGGAAUCCAUGCUGUCCAGUCCAUGUGAAGAGCACAGGAAGGCUUGUUGCAGCACACUUAAUAGUAAGCUGUGUGUGUGUGUGUGUGUGUGUGUGUGUGUGUGUGUGUGUGUGUGUGUGUGUGUGUGUGUUUAAAGCCUAAGGGGAGAAAAGUGACCUGGGGGCAUAUCCCUUUAAGCGGUAAAACAAGUUAUCCUUCAAGCAAUCACCCUUGCGGAGGUACCUUCCCUUACACCCAAAGUCCUUUUCUGUACAUAGUUUCUCAUUUAUUUAUUUUGUCUGUUCAGUCAAAUUGCAAUGGUAAGAUUCCUCUUUUAACGUGCCUUCACAGCGACCGCUCUGA
rnacentral:lncRNA from 1 species